GCCAGGAUGGUCGAAUCGGUUUGGGCGUCGCCCCGGAUAGGCGAAGGUUGUGGGUUCGACACCGGCUCCUGGCA
rnacentral:tRNA from 1 species